CCAUUUUAAUCUGAGCUUCUUUCUCACCGAUAUUUCCCCUUAGAUCUAUUUCUUCAUCUUUCGAGCCCAGAAUUUGGCUGGUUUCUCCUCUUUUUCUCCCACAUUUUGGAGUGCAAUGCACAGAAUAUAAUUCAUCUCAUUUCUCCGUCCAAAUCCUCAACACCGACAAUGAGUUCUACUUUGAGAAAUGAGAUAAUUGUGAUGAAUCCCCCUCGACAACUACCUGUGGAGGGCGAGUCGUCAACGAUUUCAUCGACGCAGGCAAGACAACGAGUAAAUGCACCGCCACUGUGGUAUCUAGGUGUAGUUCCCCAAGAAAAUUGCUAUUGGGUUGCUCAAAUAUUAUGUAUUGACCGUCUUAUAUUGCUAGGAACGUUUCAUAAAGAGCUGACUUUGACUGAUCUCGAGCAUCAAAAAGUAUUGAUUUUACCCA